rnacentral:rRNA from 1 species
GACGAACGCUGGCGGCGUGCUUAACACAUGCAAGUCGAACGAUGAAGCCGGAGCUUGCUCCGGUGGAUUAGUGGCGAACGGGUGAGUAACACGUGAGCAAUCUGCCCUUGACUCUGGGAUAACUGCGGGAAACUGUAGCUAAUACCGGAUACGACACCUUGGGGCAUCCCAGGGUGUGGAAAGAAUUUGGGUCAAGGAUGAGCUCGCGGCCUAUCAGCUAGUUGGUGAGGUAAUGGCUCACCAAGGCGACGACGGGUAGCCGGCCUGAGAGGGUGACCGGCCACACUGGAACUGAGACACGGUCGAGACUCCUACGGGAGGCAGCAGUGGGGAAUAUUGCACAAUGGGCGAAAGCCUGAUGCAGCAACGCCGCGUGAGGGAUGAAGGCCUUCGGGUUGUAAACCUCUUUUAGCAGGGAAGAAGCGAAAGUGACGGUACCUGCAGAAAAAGCACCGGCUAAUUACGUGCCAGCCGCCGCGGUAA